ACAUGCUUACGGGACGCAGCAGUGGGGGAUAUUGCACAAUGGGGGAAACCCUGAUGCAGCGACGCCGCGUGAGCGAUGAAGUAUUUCGGUAUGUAAAGCUCUAUCAGCAGGGAAGAAAAUGACGGUACCUGACUAAGAAGCCCCGGCUAACUACGUGCCAGCAGGCGCGGUAAUACGUAUGGAGCAAGCGUUAUCCGGAUUUACUGGGUGUAAAGGGAGCGCAGGCGGUCUGGCAAGUCUGAUGUGAAAUACCGGGGCUCAACUCCGGGACUGCAUUGGAAACUGUCAGACUGGAGUGUCGGAGG
rnacentral:rRNA from 1 species